CUGAUCGGACCUCCGUUAGCCUUUCGAUUAUGUAAUCCAGUAAGGCAGGGUCAACGCCCGCCUGCCUUUGUGUGGCCAUUGGAUCUCCUACUCCCUUGGCUCUGUUUUCAUGAAUCUCACUCUCUUCCUCCUUCUGUGUCGUGGUGCCGCGUUUAUGCUCUUUCCUGCCAGAUUUCUGCUGACUGCGAGGAGGCGCGUGUGGCUGAUCCAAGGGGAAGCAUGAAGACGUUUUGAGUAUAAUCUGAGGACAGAAAGACGUCUUCUGCUCGUUAUCAUCAUCAUCAAUUGAAAAAUCGCAGGAUGACGAAGCAACUUCUCUAGUGAUGGGUAUCGGCGACAUGGUGCUUGUCUGAGUUGAGGAAAGACCCAAGUGUUAACGGUGACUUGAUGUUCAGCCCAGCAGUUUGACUGCUGUUACAAAGUUACUAUAUUUUCA
rnacentral:misc_RNA from 1 species